UGUGGGGAGGGACGAAAAAAGCGUGACCUAAUACGUCUCGCCUUGACGGUACCUCCUUAGCAAGCACCGGCUAACUCCGUGCCAGCAGCCGCGGUAAUACGGAGGGUGCAAACGUUGCUCGGAAUUAUUGGGCGUAAAGCGCACGUAGGCGGUCCGCUAAGUCGGAUGUGAAAGCCCUCGGCUUAACCGAGGAAGUGCAUCCGAAACUGACGGGCUAGAGUACGGAAGAGGGUUUCGGAAUUCCCGGUGUAGAGGUGAAAUUCGUAGAUAUCGGGAGGAACACCAGUGGCGAAGGCGGAAACCUGGGCCGAUACUGACGCUGAGGUGCGAAAGCGUGGGGAGGCAAACAGGAUUAGAUACCCUGGUAGUCCACGCCGUAAACGAUGAGCGCUAGGUGUUGGGGGGUAUUACCCCGACCCGUACCGUACCGACGACGUAACCGUAACGUUAACGGUACGCCGUCCGUCCCGUCCGGGGUAGGGGUACGGUACCGGCCGACGGACGUAACUAACAACGAAGUAGUA
rnacentral:rRNA from 1 species